rnacentral:lncRNA from 1 species
CGCCGCGCACCGCGUGCACACCUGUGGCACCGACGCUGGCGCUGGCGUCGGCGACCUUGGCGCUGGUGGCAACGACGGCGACGACGACAACAGCGACGGAUCAAAGGCGCAGCACGACAGCGGAUCGACCAGGGCCGACGUGUCGGUGCGCUCGAUGACGGCGACAAAGUGAAUCGACGUCACGAGCCCGCGAAAGGCAAUCAUCCCGCCUUGCGUGUCGAGACGCUCGAUCCAUACCGACGGCGCCGUGUCGGCCGCAGGGGCCGCGACGGGCGUCGCCACCAAGGAAAGGACGGUGCGCGCUUCUGCAAAGUGGAGCGUCACAUGGCGCGCCGUCACCGCGUAUCCAUAGCCGGGUCCGUUGCCGCCUGCCAAUGGUGCGCCGACGCCGACGACACCCGCGACGAUCGACGGACCGCCAGGCGUAGCCGCGGGCGGACGGCGGCACACACCGGCAGGCCCGGGCGGUCCUUGUGGACCCGUCUGUCCGACCGCCCCGGGCGGUCCCUGCGGGCCUGGCGGCCCGGUUGCGCCAGGAGGUCCCGAUGGUCCAGGCGGACCGCGUUCUCGGUGCGCCGUCGCGUCGACAGGGCUAGGCACUUCAUGGACGCGUGCGCCGGAUCGAUCGGCCGCCGUGAGGGGCCGCCGUAGCGCAGCCAACGGGGCACACGGAAUGGUCGACGCCGGUGACGGCAACGCUAUAGACGGUGACGGCAGCGAUGGCGGCAUAGACGACGGUGGCGCGGCGCACGGCCGCUGCCAGGUCAUGAGCGCCUGUGCGCCCGGCGAUAGGCCCGGAUUAAAGCAGGCGCCCGCAACGGCGGCCGGCGCCGGGCCAUAAUACAUAUUCUCUUUUUUUUUCCUCCUUCU